rnacentral:rRNA from 1 species
UCGGGAAUUUUGGGCAAUGGGCGCAAGCCUGACCCAGCAACGCCGCGUGAAGGAUGAAAUCCCUCGGGAUGUAAACUUCGCAAGAACAGGAAGAAUAAGCUCGUGUUAAUAGCACGAGUGAUGACGGUACUGUUUGUAAGCUCCGGCUAACUCCGUGCCAGCAGCCGCGGUAAUACGGGGGGAGCAAGCGUUGUUCGGAUUUACUGGGCGUAAAGGGCGCGUAGGCGGUCAGUGCAAGUCAGUUGUGAAAUCUCCGGGCUUAACUCGGAAAGGUCAACUGAUACUGCUCGACUAGAGUGCGGAAGGGGCAACUGGAAUUCUUGGUGUAGCGGUGAAAUGCGUAGAUAUCAAGAGGAACACCUGCGGCGAAGGCGGGUUGCUGGGCCGACACUGACGCUGAUGCGCGAAAGCCAGGGGAGCGAACGGGAUUAGAUACCCCCGUAGUCC